rnacentral:rRNA from 1 species
AUUGAACGCUGGCGGCAGGCCUAACACAUGCAAGUCGAGCGGAUGAAGGGAGCUUGCUCCUGGAUUCAGCGGCGGACGGGUGAGUAAUGCCUAGGAAUCUGCCUGGUAGUGGGGGAUAACGUCCGGAAACGGGCGCUAAUACCGCAUACGUCCUGAGGGAGAAAGUGGGGGAUCUUCGGACCUCACGCUAUCAGAUGAGCCUAGGUCGGAUUAGCUAGUUGGUGGGGUAAAGGCCUACCAAGGCGACGAUCCGUAACUGGUCUGAGAGGAUGAUCAGUCACACUGGAACUGAGACACGGUCCAGACUCCUACGGGAGGCAGCAGUGGGGAAUAUUGGACAAAGGGCGAAAGCCUGAUCCAGCCAUGCCGCGUGUGUGAAGGAGGUCUUCGGAUUGUAAAGCACUUUAAGUUGGGAGGAAGGGCAGUAAGUUAAUACCUUGCUGCUUUGACGUUACCAACAGAAUAAGCACCGGCUAACUUCGUG